rnacentral:lncRNA from 1 species
ACAAGUAGAAGUAAAGUUGGGUAUGACAGAAGAACCCAAAAUCUGAUCACGGACAUGAGAGGAAUCAUCAGAGAGUCCGUAUAAUGCCAACAACAUGAAGAACUUUGAUCAUUGUUCCAGUUCUUCAGCAGGAGUGGAAGCAAGAGGUAAUAGCUCAUUAAAAUCAUGAAGGAGGGCAUGAACUUUACCCAAAUAUUCUGCCAUGGGACCAGGACUGCACGGACCAAUAAUAGUGAAUAGGUCCUGGCAAACACCAUAAAGACGUUAAGGGUCAUUUGUGUAUAACAACUUCGCUUGUGCCCAUACUUCUGAACAUAUUUCAUAUGAUUGAAACAUUUGUUUCAAUGAGGAGUGAAUGGUGGACUUUAUGACGAUGCAUAAUUGGGCAUCAAUUUUCAUCUAGUGAGAAUUGUCAUCUAUGGUAGCACUAGUCACAUUUUGAGUAAGGUGAUCUACAUAACCCUGACUCUUCAACCAAAGUUUGAUGUCGGAUGCCCAUGUUGCAUAAUUUGUGUCAUCUNACUUGUCAAUGGACAAGUG